UAGAGUUUUCAAAACUCCCAAACCCAUGUGAACUUACCAUUGUUGCCUCGGUGGGAACCUACCCUGUAACCGUCACAGCUUACCCUGUAACGGCCUACCCUGUAGCGCCUCACCGGUGGACCACUUAACUCUUGUUAUUUUAUGUAAUCUGAGAGUCUUAUUUUAAAUAAGUCA
rnacentral:misc_RNA from 1 species